UUUUAAUGAGAGUUUGAUCCUGGCUCAGGACGAACGCUGGCGGCGUGCCUAAUACAUGCAAGUAGAACGCUGAGGUUUGGUGUUUACACUAGACUGAUGAGUUGCGAACGGG
rnacentral:rRNA from 1 species